UACGAAGGGGGGCUAGCGUUGCUCGGAAUCACUGGGCGUAAAGCGCACGUAGGCGGAUCUUUUAAGUCAGGGGUGAAAUCCUGGAGCUCAAACUCCAGAACUGCCUUUGAUACUGGGGAUCUCGAGUCCGGAAGAGGUGAGUGGAACUCCGAGUGUAGAGGUGAAAUUCGUAGAUAUUCGGAAGAACACCAGUGGCGAAGGCGGCUCACUGGUCCGGUACUGACGCUGAGGUGCGAAAGCGUGGGGAGCAAACAGG
rnacentral:rRNA from 1 species